UUAUUUUAUUAAGCACAUAUACUAAAAUUGGAACGAUACAGAGAAGAUUAGCAUGGCCCCUGCGCAAGGAAAAAUUAUAUGUAUGUGUGUCUGUGUGUGUGUAU